rfam:Triticum aestivum genome assembly, contig: Triticum_aestivum_CS42_TGACv1_scaffold_131856_2BL
GUUUUACUAGGAGUUUCCUGCAAGCACUUCAUAAGGCAUUAUUCCAAAUGCCACCAUGAAGUGUUUUGGGGGACUCUCGGUGCUAC